rnacentral:rRNA from 1 species
UACGGAGGGUGCAAGCGUUAUCCGGAUUCGCUGGGUUUAAAGGGUGCGUAGGCGGGCAGGUAAGUCAGUGGUGAAAUCUCCGGGCUUAACCCGGAAACUGCCGUUGAUACUAUUUGUCUUGAAUAUUGUGGAGGUAAGCGGAAUAUGUCAUGUAGCGGUGAAAUGCUUAGAUAUGACAUAGAACACCAAUUGCGAAGGCAGCUGGCUACAGGGAUAUUGACACUGAGGCACGAAAGCGUGGGGAUCAAACAGG